rnacentral:rRNA from 1 species
AGAGUUUGAUCCUGGCUCAGGACGAACGCUGGCGGCGUGCCUAAUACAUGCAAGUCGAGCGAAUCAAUAGGAGCUUGCUCCUGUUGGUUAGCGGCGGACGGGUGAGUAACACGUGGGCAACCUGCCUGUAAGACUGGGAUAACACCGGGAAACCGGUGCUAAUACCGGAUAAUUCUUCCCCUCUCAUGAGGGGGAGUUGAAAGUCGGUUUCGGCUGACACUUACAGAUGGGCCCGCGGCGCAUUAGCUAGUUGGUGAGGUAACGGCUCACCAAGGCGACGAUGCGUAGCCGACCUGAGAGGGUGAUCGGCCACACUGGGACUGAGACACGGCCCAGACUCCUACGGGAGGCAGCAGUAGGGAAUCUUCCACAAUGGACGAAAGUCUGAUGGAGCAACGCCGCGUGAGCGAUGAAGGCCUUCGGGUCGUAAAGCUCUGUUGUUAGGGAAGAACAAGUACCGGAGUAACUGCCGGUACCUUGACGGUACCUAACCAGAAAGCCACGGCUAACUACGUGCCAGCCGCCGCGGUAAUUC